GUGAACAUUGAUUAGUGUAUACUGCUUAGAUCGUAAAUUAUACACCAAUCAGUGGACCGUGCAACGUUAUUGACAUAUACGAAAAUUUUUCAUAUGACUGAAAGAAUCGAGUCUCUGGUCAGUAUCGGUCUUUUUCUUGUCAUAUAAUUUUGUACGUUGUUUUAUUGCGUCUCCGGCUAUCUCAACCACAUCGAUUAAAUCUAAGGAUACAAAAGAGGUUUACCGCAACUCACAUUAUUCUGCUGAUGCAGAUAAUUCUCUGUACUCUGCGUAUGUAUUAACGCUGGUGGCAAAGCAUAGAAGUUUCUUCUCUUGUAUUAUUACUUCAUCAAAUAUAAAAAUGAAGAAAUUUGUGCAAUCCAAUGUUAACUGUAAUCAUCAACAAAUGUUAAAGUUGAAAUUGCUUGAUGAAUCAACAAAUGUUAUGUAUAGUAUAGAAGUAGGAAAAGAAGAUUACAAUCGUGCUCAUAAAGAUAAUGAUUUUGCCAACGUGCUUCUGGAGAAAGCGAAAGCAUUACGUUCAAAUUACAAAAACUCUACACCUAGUAACUGUAGUACCUCUCCUGUAGUACCUUCAACAGUUGAUAACAAUAAACCAAGUUGUUCGAAGAGUAGUGUUCAAUACGACAAUACUUCAGAUAUUGAAAACUAUAAUGA